rnacentral:rRNA from 2 species
GUGACCUCAAAUCAGGUAGGACUACCCGCUGAACUUAAGCAUAUCAAUAAGCGGAGGAAAAGAAACUAACAAGGAUUCCCCUAGUAACUGCGAGUGAAGCGGGAAAAGCUCAAAUUUAAAAUCUGGCAGUCUUUGGCUGUCCGAGUUGUAAUCUAGAGAAGUGUUAUCCGCGUUGGACCGUGUACAAGUCUCCUGGAAUGGAGCGUCAUAGAGGGUGAGAAUCCCGUCUUUGACACGGACUGCCAGGGCUUUGUGAUGCGCUCUCAAAGAGUCGAGUUGUUUGGGAAUGCAGCUCAAAAUGGGUGGUAAAUUCCAUCUAAAGCUAAAUAUUGGCGAGAGACCGAUAGCGAACAAGUACCGUGAGGGAAAGAUGAAAAGAACUUUGGAAAGAGAGUUAAACAGUACGUGAAAUUGCUGAAAGGGAAACGCUUGAAGUCAGUCACRUUGGUCAGGAAUCAACCUUGCUUCUGCUUGGUGUAUUUUCUGGUUGAUGGGUCAGCAUCAAUUUUGAUCAUUGGAAAAAGGUCAGGGGAAUGUGGCAUCCUUGGAUGUGUUAUAGCCCUUGAUUGUAUACAAUGGUUGGGAUUGAGGAACUCAGCACGCCGCAAGGCCGGGUUUUUAACCAUGUUCGUGCUUAGGAUGCUGGCAUAAUGGCUUUAAUCGACCCGUCUUGAAACACGGACCAAGGAGUCUAACAUGCCUGCGAGUGUUUGGGUGGAAAACCCGAGCGCGUAAUGAAAGUGAAAGUUGAGAUCCCUGUCAUGGGGAGCAUCGACGCCCGGACCAGACCUUUUGUGACGGUUCCGCGGUAGAGCAUGUAUGUUGGGACCCGAAAGAUGGUGAACUAUGCCUGAAUAGGGUGAAGCCAGAGGAAACUCUGGUGGAGGCUCGUAGCGAUUCUGACGUGCAAAUCGAUCGUCAAAUUUGGGUAUAGGGGCGAAAGACUAAUCGAACCAUCUAGUAGCUGGUUCCUGCCGA